AGAACUAUGUUGAAGGAACUCGGCAAAUUGCACGCGUAACUUCGGAAGAAGCGUGACCCCAUUAUACGCAAGUGUAUUGGGGUGGCACAGACCAGGGGGUAGCGACUGUUUAUCAAAAACACAGGGCUCUGCGAAGUCGAUAAGACGACGUAUAGGGUCUGACGCCUGCCCGGUGCUGGAAGGUUAAGAGGAGAGGUGCAAGCU
rnacentral:ncRNA from 1 species